rnacentral:rRNA from 1 species
AUUGAACGCUGGCGGCAGGCCUAACACAUGCAAGUCGAGCGAGCGGCGGACGGGUGAGUAAUGUCUGGGAAACUGCCUGAUGGAGGGGGAUAACUACUGGAAACGGUAGCUAAUACCGCAUACCAUCAGAUGUGCCCAGAUGGGAGUAGCUAGUAGGUGGGGUAAUGGCUCACCUAGGCGACGAUCUGUAGCGGGUCUGAGAGGAGGAUCCGCCACACUGGGACUGAGACACGGCCCAGACGCCUACGGGAGGCAGCAGUGGGGAAUAUUGCACAAUGGGCGCAAGCCUGAUGCAUCCAUGCCGCGUGUGUGAAGAAGGCCUUCGGGUUGUAAAGCACUUUCAGCGGGGAGGCGUUACCCGCAGAAGAAGCACCGGCUAACUCCGUGCCAGCAGCCGCGGUAAUUC